GGGCGAAAGCCUGAUGGAGCAACGCCGCGUGAGUGAAGAAGGAUUUCGGUUCGUAAAACUCUGUUGUAAGGGAAGAACAAGUACAGUAGUAACUGGCUGUACCUUGACGGUACCUUAUUAGAAAGCCACGGCUAACUACGUGCCAGCAGCCGCGGUAAUACGUAGGUGGCAAGCGUUGUCCGGAAUUAUUGGGCGUAAAGCGCGCGCAGGUGGUUUCUUAAGUCUGNUGUGAAAGCCCACGGCUCAACCGUGGAGGGUCAUUGGAAACUGGGAGACUUGAGUGCAGAAGAGGAUAGUGGAAUUCCAANUGUAGCGGUGAAAUGCGUAGAGAUUUGGAGGAACACCAGUGGCGAAGGCGACUAUCUGGUCUGUAACUGACACUGAGGCGCGAAAGCGUGGGGAGCAAACAGGAUUAGAUACCCUGGUAGUCCACGCCGUAAACGAUGAGUGCUAAGUGUUAGGGGGUUUCCGCCCCUUAGUGCUGCAGCUAACGCAUUAAGCACUCCGCCUGGGGAGUACGGUCGCAAGACUGAAACU
rnacentral:rRNA from 1 species